AAUAGAUACCCAGGUAGUCCACGCCGUAAACGAUGAGUGCUAAGUGUUAGAGGGUUUCCGCCCUUUAGUGCUGAAGUUAACGCAUUAAGCACUCCGCCUGGGGAGUACGGCCGCAAGGCUGAAACUCAAAGGAAUUGACGGGGGCCCGCACAAGCGGUGGAGCAUGUGGUCUAAUUCGAAGCAACGCGAAGAACCUUACCAGGUCUUGACAUCCUCUGACAACCCUAGAGAUAGGACUUCUCCUUCGGGAGCAGAGUGACAGGUGGUGCAUGGUUGUCGUCAGCUCGUGUCGUGAGAUGUUGGGUUAAGUCCCGCAACGAGUGCAACCCUUGAUCUUAGUUGCCAUCAUUUAGUUGGGCACUCUAAGGUGACUGCCGGUGACAAACCGGAGGAAGGUGGGGAUGACGUCAAAUCAUCAUGCCCCUUAUGACCUGGGCUACACACGUGCUACAAUGGACGGUACAAAGAGCUGCAAGACCGCGAGGUGGAGCUAAUCUCAUAAAACCCGUUCUCAGUUCGGAUUGUAGG
rnacentral:rRNA from 1 species